rnacentral:rRNA from 1 species
CCUGUUGUGGCGCCAGCCGCAUAGCAGGGUAGCUAAAUCCGGACGGGAUAACCGCUGAAGGCAUCUAAGCGGGAAACCCACCUCGAAACGAGUGUUCCCUGAGAGUCGUGGUAGACGACCACGUUGAUAGGCCGGGUGUGGAAGCGCAGCAAUGUGUGAAGCUUACCGGUACUAAUAGCUCGAUUGGCUUGAUCAU